rnacentral:rRNA from 1 species
AUUGAACGCUGGCGGCAGGCCUAACACAUGCAAGUCGAGCGAGCGGCGGACGGGUGAGUAAUGUCUGGGAAACUGCCUGAUGGAGGGGGAUAACUACUGGAAACGGUAGCUAAUACCGCAUACCAUCAGAUGUGCCCAGAUGGGAUUAGCUUGUAGGUGGGGGAAUGGCUCACCUAGGCGACGCUCCCUAGCUGGUCUGACAGGAUGACCGGCCACCCUGGAACGGGGACACGGUCCAGACUCCUACGGGAGGCAGAAGAGGGGAAUAUUGCACAAUGGGCGAAAGCCUGAUGCAGCCAGGCCGCUUGGGUGAAGAAGGCCUUCGGGUUGUAAAGCACUUUCAGCGAGGAGGCGUUACUCGCAGAAGAAGCACCGGCUAACUCCGUGCCAGCAGCCGCGGUAAUAC